rfam:Medicago truncatula strain A17 unplaced genomic scaffold scaffold0104, whole genome shotgun sequence.
AUGUAGUGUGACAUGUCCGUUGGGUUUUACUCUAAUGUUGAAUUAAUUAUUAUUUAAUUACUUUUGGGUAACGGGGUGUUACACUACC